rnacentral:rRNA from 1 species
GUGGGGAAUCUUGGACAAUGGGCGCAAGCCUGAUCCAGCCAUGCCGCGUGAGUGAAGAAGGCCUUAGGGUUGUAAAACUCUUUCGCCGGUGAAGAUAAUGACGGUAACCGGAGAAGAAGCCCCGGCUAACUUCGUGCCAGCAGCCGCGGUAAUACGAAGGGGGCUAGCGUUGUUCGGAAUUACUGGGCGUAAAGCGCACGUAGGCGGGUUUGUAAGUAGGGGGUGAAAUCCCAGGGCUCAACCCUGGAACUGCCUUCUAGACUGCAAGCCUGGAGGUCAGGAGAGGCGAGUGGAAUACCGAGUGUAGAGGUGAAAUUCGUAGAUAUUCGGUGGAACACCAGUGGCGAAGGCGACUCGCUGGACUGAUACUGACGCUGAGGUGCGAAAGCGUGGGGAGCAAACAGGAUUAGAAACCCGUGUAGUCC